GACGAACGCUGGCGGCGCGCCUAAUACAUGCAAGUAGAACGCUGAAGAGAGGAGCUUCCUCUUCUUGGAUGAGUUGCGAACGGGUGAGUAACGCGUAGGUAACCUGCCUUGUAGCGGGGGAUAACUAUUGGAAACGAUAGCUAAUACCGCAUAACAAUGGAUGACACAUGUCAUUUAUUUGAAAGGGGCAAUUGCUCCACUACAAGAUGGACCUGCGUUGUAUUAGCUAGUAGGUGAGGUAAUGGCUCACCUAGGCGACGAUACAUAGCCGACCUGAGAGGGUGAUCGGCCACACUGGGACUGAGACACGGCCCAGACUCCUACGGGAGGCAGCAGUAGGGAAUCUUCGGCAAUGGGGGCAACCCUGACCGAGCAACGCCGCGUGAGUGAAGAAGGUUUUCGGAUCGUAAAGCUCUGUUGUAAGUCAAGAACGGGUGUGAGAGUGGAAAGUUCACACUGUGACGGUAGCUUACCAGAAAGGGACGGCUAACUACGUG
rnacentral:rRNA from 1 species